GAAAACUGGCUUAUGGUAGGUCUAGUGGGCUGAAUGUCAGUCCUCCAAAAGAUACGGCCAUGUGCUAGUCCCCAGAACUUGUAGAUAUUUUCAUAUAUGCAGAAGAUGUGCUUAAAUGAAGGAUCCUGAGAGGAGAGAAUACCCUGCGUAGGUGGGCCCUAAAUCUAGACACAUGUCUCCCUAUAAGAAGAGACAGGGGGAGUUUAGACACAGAUGCUGAGAAGAGGGCGAGGUGAUGUGAAGAUGCAAACAAACUGGAAUGAUGCAGCCUCAAGCCAAGGAAUGCGGGCGACCGCCAGCAGCAGAAGCAAACAGCGGAAUCCUCCCUAAAGCCUCUGAAGGGAGCACAGUUCUGCGGACACCUGGGUUUUGGAUUUCUGACCUCCAGAACUUAGAAUACAUGUCUGCUAUUUUAAUCCAUCAAAUUUAUAGUAAUUUGUUAUAGCAGCCACAGGAAGCUUAUCUGCACGGAGAGCUGGCUUCAGACACACCUGGCCUGGGACCCCAGCUCCUCCCAGAGGCGGGAUCUACUGCAAAUGACUUCACCUUCCUGAGAAUCUGACUCCUUAUCUGUGACAGGAAGAACUUCUUUACCUCUGAGAAAUGCUCUGGAGGUGAAAGUGAUUAGCAGGCUUAACAGUGACUGGAUGCGUGCCCGGCACACAGUCCGCGCCCAUAGGUAUUAAUGUCUCUCUCUUUUCCUCUGCUUCAUCCGAGUCACCUUGGAGAAAUAAGGUAGGCUAGUCUCUCUAGCCUUUCUCUCUCCCGAGUGUCUCCCAGGUCUGGCUACCUUCAUGAGGUCCGGUAGAACAUGAAAAGGAGAGUCA